CCUACGGGAGGCAGCAGUGAGGAAUAUUGGUCAAUGGACGAGAGUCUGAACCAGCCAAGUAGCGUGAAGGAUGACUGCCCUAUGGAUUGUAAACUUCUUUUAUCUGGGAAUAAAAUGUUCCACGUGUGGGAUUUUGUAUGUACCAUAUGAAUAAUGAUCGGCUAACUCCGUGCCAGCAGCCGCGGUAAUACGGAGGAUCCGAGCGUUAUCCGGAUUUAUUGGGUUUAAAGGGAGCAUAGGUGGAUUGUUAAGUCAGUUGUGAAAGUUUGCGGCUCAACCGUAAAAUUGCAGUUGAAACUGGCAGUCUUGAGUACAGUAGAGGUGGGCGGAAUGCGUGGUGUAGCGGUGAAAUGCUUAGAUAUCACGAAGAACUCCGAUUGCGAAGGCAGUUCACUGGACUGCAACUGACACUGAGGCUCGAAAGUGUGGGUAUCAAACAGGAUUAGAUACCCGUGUAGUC
rnacentral:rRNA from 1 species